GCGUGGGGAGCAAAUAGGAUUAGAUACCCUAGUAGUCCACGCCGUAAACGAUGAGAACCUGAUGCAGGAGAUAUUCUGUGUCGAAGCUAACGCGUUAAGUUCUCCGCCUGGGUACUACGUUCGCAAGAAUAAAACUUAAAGGAAUUGACGGGCGCCCGCACAAGCAGUGGAGCAUGGGGUUUAAUUCGUCGAUACACGAAAAACCUUACCAGGGCUUGACAUCCCGCUAAAAGCCUUAGAAAUAAGGAAAUAGUUAUAGCGGUGACAGGUGGUGCAUGGUUGUCGUCAGCUCGUGCCGUGAGGUGUUAGGUUAAGUCCUCAAACGAGCGCAACCCUUGUCUUUAGUUGCCAUUAUUAAUUUAGGAACUCUAGAGAGACUGCCGGCGCAAGCCGGAGGAAGGCGGGGAUGACGUCAAAUCAUCAUGCCCUUUAUGCCCUGGGCCACACCCGUGCUACAAUGGUCGGUACAAAGAGAAGCAACACUGUGAGGUGAAGCAAAUCCCAUAAAGCCGAUCUCAAUUCGGAUUGAAGUCUGCAACUCGACUUCAUGAAGCUGGAAUUGCUAGUAAUCGCAGAUCAGCAACGCUGCGGUGAAUACGUUCUCGGGCGUUGUACACACUGCCCGUCACACCAUGAGAGCCGGUAAUACUCGAAGUCGUUAGCCUAACCGUAAGGAGGGCGGCGCCUAAGGUAGGACUGGUGAUUGGGGUUAAGUCGUAACAAGGUAUCCCUACG
rnacentral:rRNA from 1 species